rnacentral:rRNA from 1 species
GAUGAACGCUGGCGGCGUGCCUAAUACAUGCAAGUCGAGCGAACGGACGAGAAGCUUGCUUCUCUGAUGUUAGCGGCGGACGGGUGAGUAACACGUGGAUAACCUACCUAUAAGACUGGGAUAACUUCGGGAAACCGGAGCUAAUACCGGAUGAUAUUUUGAACCGCAUGGUUCAAAAGUGAAAGACGGUCUUGCUGUCACUUAUAGAUGGAUCCGCGCUGCAUUAGCUAGUUGGUAAGGUAACAGCUUACCAAGGCAACGAUGCAUAGCCGACCUGAGAGGGUGAUCGGCCAAACUGGAACUGAGACACGGUCCAGACUCCUACGGGAGGCAGCAGUAGGGAAUCUUCCGCAAUGGCGAAAGCCUGACGGAGCAACGCCGCGUGAGUGAUGAAGGUCUUCGGAUCGUAAAACUCUGUUAUUAGGGAAGAACAUAUGUGUAAGUAACUGUGCACAUCUUGACGGUACCUAAUCAGAAAGCCACGGCUAACUACGUG